rnacentral:rRNA from 1 species
UACGAAGGGGGCUAGCGUUGCUCGGAUUGACUGGGCGUAAAGGGCGCGUAGGCGGUUUGCCUAGUCAGACGUGAAAUUCCUGGGCUUAACCUGGGGGCUGCGUUUGAUACAUGCAGGCUUGAGUUCGGAAGAGGGUCGUGGAAUUCCCAGUGUAGAGGUGAAAUUCGUAGAUAUUGGGAAGAACACCGGUGGCGAAGGCGGCGACCUGGUCCGAUACUGACGCUGAGGCGCGAAAGCGUGGGGAGCAAACAGG